GAAAGGUGUGCUAAUACCGGAUACGUCUAAGUUAAUAUCUUUUUUUUAGAGAAAGGUGGCCUCUGAUUCAAGCUACUGUGCGGGGAGGAGCUUGCGUACCAUUAGCUAGUUGGUAGGGUAACGGCCUACCAAGGCGACGAUGGUUAGCGGGUCUGAGAGGAUGAUCCGCCACACUGGAACUGAAACACGGACCAGACUCCUACGGGAGGCAGCAGUGAGGAAUAUUGCGCAAUGGGGGCAACCCUGACGCAGCGACGCCGCGUGGAUGAUGAAGGCCUUCGGGUUGUAAAAUCCUGUCAGAUGGGAAGAAGUGCUAUAUGGUUAAUAUCUGUAUAGUUUGACGGUACCAUCAAAGGAAGCACCGGCUAACUCCGUGCCAGCAGCCGCGGUAAUACGGAGGGUGCAAGCGUUGUUCGGAAUUACUGGGCGUAAAGCGCGCGUAGGCGGCUAUGUAAGUCAGAUGUGAAAGCCCGCGGCUCAACCGUGGAAGUGCAUUUGAAACUGUAUAGCUUGAGUACUGGAGGGGGUAGUGGAAUUCCCGGUGUAGAGGUGAAAUUCGUA
rnacentral:rRNA from 1 species